rnacentral:rRNA from 1 species
GACGUAGGGCGCGAGCGUUGUCCGGAUUUAUUGGGCGUAAAGAGCUCGUAGGCGGUCUGUCACGUCGGCUGUGAAAACUCGGGGCUCAACCCCGAGCCUGCAGUCGAUACGGGCAGACUAGAGUCCGGCAGGGGAGACUGGAAUUCCUGGUGUAGCGGUGAAAUGCGCAGAUAUCAGGAGGAACACCGGUGGCGAAGGCGGGUCUCUGGGCCGGAACUGACGCUGAGGAGCGAAAGCGUGGGGAGCGAACAGG